UUCAGAGCCAGCUUUUUUAAAGCAUGGAGACUUUGAGUCUCAUUUUUUAUCCUCCUUCCCUUCUUCUUCUUCUUUUUUUUUUUUUUUUUUUUAAAGACAAAAUUACAUUCUAGGCAAUGAUUGCAGUGACAUUAAGCUCAAGUGAUCAAAAAGUGUUUUGCUGCACCAAUGUCAGCUGUUGAAGGGACAAGCGCUUGUGAUGAAUGUUUGAUAUCUGCCCAUCUUGCUUGAUAUGUAUCCCAGGAGGAAGACAGGAGACAACUUGAUCAGCUCAGCAGUCCCGCUGGCAUUUCUGUGGCCUCUGAAGCCAUAUUUCUCAAAGAACCUAAGGCCAUCUUUGCAGGGGAGGGUCACACUUGAUGCUGCUUUGACAAGGAGCCUUUGGCCACGGCUAUAGGGCAAAGGAGGUUUUCCAACAGAAAAUGCCAAUUUGUCAUAAUCAAACCUUUUUGCAGUUUCUAAAGGAAGCUCAGGUAGGAAAAAAAAAAAAAAAAGAAAAAAGAAAAAAAAAAGGGUGCUUUCUGUUAGUAACAUUAGGCUGGAACUAGAGCAGCAAGCAAACCAAGGCACCAUCCUGCACGCUUCUGUUUCACCACCAGUCCAAAGACCCUCUGGACCAGGAAGGAACAGUGAACUGGAGCAUCCUGAGGCUGGGGACUUGACACAUGUGAAUGUUAUCUCUGUGAUAAAUUGCCAGGUGAUGAUGUGAUGAAUUGUGUUUAUCCUGACCAGCUGAUGGCCCUGUCUGCUCUCUACUUAGUGCACCACGUGGUGUAGGGUGCUCCCAUCAGAAGCACAUUCAAGCAGCAGUUGGGAGCUGCAGAAGCAACUGUAGGAUAGCUAAAGACACGUGGACUCAAGGAAGAAGUCUCCUGCAUUUUUGGGGGGGUUCACAGGUUUUGGUGUUUCCUAAGUACCUGGAGGGGUGUUUCAAGGCACAUUUGAAGUACAGGAGGGAGGAUAUCUUCCUUGGACACAUGGAGGAGAUGCCCUGAGAGCACAGGCCGUGCUGUCCCUGGAGACCUGCAGCCCCUUCCUCACGACCUGCUGCUUCUCCUUGACCUUCGGGUGAUCCCAUGGUUAAAAGCAGCAGGUUUGAUACACAGCAUGGUGCAGGAUGUGUCCAUCCCUUUGCACACUCAUGGCAUCCUGGCUCUAGCUUGGCUUCCAGCUCCUUUCUUGCUCUUACAUCCCACGCUCUGCAUUUCAUCCAGCCUCGGCGCAAAAACUCCUGGAAACACCUCGUCCUGCGCCUCGUGCGCAAGCGACCCCGGGAUUGCCUCCGCCACAGACUUCAUAGACCUCAAUUUGCAGAACAACAGAGGAAAGGGGGAAAAAAGAGCAUGUUGUGGUGCGGUCUUUACAAAAGCCAUUCAUCCCGGUGCUUUUACUAACAGGCAUCAAAUGAGAUUCCUGCAGUAGAUGAUUUGUUUUGUCCUUCUCCUGCUGGCUCAGAUUAAUCUCUGCUCCUGAAGUGGUGGUGUCAUUUCCCGGAGACGUACGGCAGCAGGAAUCGCGGAGCCCCAUAAAUUCGACUCAAUUCAGGAUCCAUCCGUCUUCCUCUGCGCUCUCCAGCUCCGCGCUCUCUGCAGGGCAAGGGCAGCCCCGCAGGUACCGGUGCGCCCGCCUGUUUGCAGGCUAAUAAAUAAAAAAGCCUCAAGAUGGGAGCGGCUGGAGCAGAAGAGGGAUGCUUGUGGUCGAGAGCAGUUUGCCUUCUGCUGCCUUCCUGCCUCUCGGAACAUUGGAGGGGCCAGACUGUGGCCGAUGGAGAAGCAGCAAUGCUGGGAUCAAACAGCAACAUGAAUGUUUAAAAAUGUACAGAAGCCCACUUAAAACUCAUUCUGCCAGUAAGCUAAUGACUAAAUUUCUCUGGGUUUUUAUUCAAAUGAGAGC